rnacentral:rRNA from 1 species
GAUGAACGCUGGCGGCGUGCUUAACACAUGCAAGUCGAACGAAGCAUUUAAGACAGAUUCCUUCGGUUUGAAGUCUUUUAUGACUGAGUGGCGGACGGGUGAGUAACGCGUGGGUAACCUGCCUCAUACAGGGGGAUAGCAGCUGGAAACGGCUGGUAAUACCGCAUAAGCGCACAGUACCACAUGGUACAGUGUGAAAAACUCCGGUGGUAUGAGAUGGACCCGCGUCUGAUUAGCUUGUUGGCGGGGUAACGGCCCACCAAGGCGACGAUCAGUAGCCGACCUGAGAGGGUGACCGGCCACAUUGGGACUGAGACACGGCCCAGACUCCUACGGGAGGCAGCAGUGGGGAAUAUUGCACAAUGGAGGAAACUCUGAUGCAGCGACGCCGCGUGAGUGAAGAAGUAGUUCGCUAUGUAAAGCUCUAUCAGCAGGGAAGAUAGUGACGGUACCUGACGAAGAAGCUCCGGCUAAAUACGUG